UACAGAGGUCUCAAGCGUUGUUCGGAUUCAUUGGGCGUAAAGGGUGCGUAGGCGGCGCGGUAAGUCGGGUGUGAAAUCUCGGGGCUUAACUCCGAAACUGCAUUCGAUACUGCCGUGCUUGAGGACUGGAGAGGAGACUGGAAUUUACGGUGUAGCGGUGAAAUGCGCAGAUAUCAGGAGGAACACCGGUGGCGAAGGCGGCACUCUGGGCCGGUACUGACGCUGAGGAGCGAAAGCAUGGGGAGCGAACAGG
rnacentral:rRNA from 1 species